rnacentral:rRNA from 1 species
AGUCGACGAACUCUUCGGAGUUAGUGGCGGACGGGUGAGUACACGUGGGAACGUGCCUUUAGGUUCGGAAUAACUCAGGGAAACUUGUGCUAAUACCGAAUGUGCCCUUCGGGGGAAAGAUUUAUCGCCUUUAGAGCGGCCCGCGUCUGAUUAGCUAGUUGGUGAGGUAAAGGCUCACCAAGGCGACGAUCAGUAGCUGGUCUGAGAGGAUGAUCAGCCACAUUGGGACUGAGACACGGCCCAAACUCCUACGGGAGGCAGCAGUGGGGAAUCUUGCGCAAUGGGCGAAAGCCUGACGCAGCCAUGCCGCGUGAAUGAUGAAGGUCUUAGGAUUGUAAAAUUCUUUCAGUAGGGACGAUAAUGACGGUACCUACAGAAGAAGCCCCGGCUAACUUCGUGCCAGCAGCCGCGGUAAUACGAAGGGGGCUAGCGUUGCUCGGAAUUACUGGGCGUAGAGGGAGCGUAGGCGGACA